rnacentral:snRNA from 1 species
GUGCUCGCUUCGGCAGCACAUAUACUAAAAUUGGAAUGAUACAGAGAUUAGCAUGACCCCUGCACAAGGAUGACACACAAAUUUGUGAAGUGUUCCAUAUUUAA